CAGACCGGAAGAUCUUCGUGGACCAUUUGGAGAGUUUGGACCCCUGAAGGAUGUUUACUUACCGCUUGACUAUUAUACUGGCGCGGACCAGUAUGGUAGCCGUUGCAUUCAACAGAAACUUGAAACCACUACUAGCGAGGAUAAAAAACAUGUUUUUUCAAGAGAUUUUCCCUCAUGCUCUUACUUUGAUGACCGAUGUCUUUGGAAAUUAUGUGAUUCGGAAGGUGUUGUCAACAACUUAUCUUUUAUUAUGUAACCGUCACAUAAAAAUUAUGCCUUUUUUUGCAACUAUAAAAAAUUUUAACUGCUCUCUGUUUUAAUUUUUCGAGCAUUGAAUGCCAGCUCAGCGAAGAGAAUUGGCUGGAAAGCUGUUGGGCCAUGUUUUGUCCCUUAGUCUUCAAAUGUACGGCUGCCGAGUUAUACAGAAGGUAAUAAUAUGUUGCACAUGUGUUAUCUAAUUUAGUGAUUUUACCUACAUUAUUAUGUAUAUGUGGUUGUAAAAUUCACAUUAUUAUGUUAGUUGAUUUGCAUAUGGUAUAUUAGGGGUGAUGAUGGUCAUGUUAGGUUGGUUUUUACAAAAUUUUGGGAUAAUUAUAGUUUCUAAGACGACAAACAUGUUUUUGGUGGAUCAUGUUAGGUUGGUUUGUAAAACUGUUUCUUGUCAUAUGGAGAUGAUUUCCGUAUUUUUAUUGUGAAAAAAAAAUCUACAGAGUUGAAUAGAGAUUUAGAAGACACUGUCGCAUAAACCUGGAUUUAGCAUGUAUUUAGGUAUAUCCACCACAUGUUAGAAUCUGAAUUUCAGUGUGUUAUAUAUCCACCUAUAAUCGGAGGUCAAUGUGUAUGCAGUAAAGUGGCUUAAUCUGAGUAGUCAUGAAUGGAGGUAUAAUCACAAUCAGGGGCGGAACUACAAGAGGGUCGGGGGGUCAGUUGACCCUCCGGCGAGCAAAAUUUUCAAUUUAUCAGAGUACUUAACGAUUUUUUUUUGUAUAGUUGACCCCGUGGACUGUCUCGCGUAAAGCAUUAAAAUUAAAAGAAAAAAUUAGAGAUUUUAAAAGAUUUUCCGGCUGGUGAACGAUGGUCCGGUGGCGGCGAGUGGUGGUCCGACGGUGGCAAGCGGUGUUGGUCCGCUGGAUUGUAAGUAUUUGAGAAAUUGAAUGAAGAAGUCUGAGACACGUGAUAUUUGGUAUAUUAUAAAUGGGCUUUAGAGUCAAUCUGGGUUUUUUGUAAAAUGAUGAGUUUAGCCCAAAAUAAAACCUAAUUUUUUAAUGAUACAUGUAUUGUUUUCUACACUGGUAGAAGAUGAAAUCAAGAGAUGGCGCCCAAAGGUCGUGGGUUGAAGCCGAUCGAUCUACCUUGCCACACCUCAAUAAGUUCUUUCCUACUAUUUGAUGAUGCUGAAGGAAAAUGCAUUGGAGUUCAAGAUUCGGACGAGAAAGAUUGGCUUUCAAUGUCAGUACUCGGCCAAAUAAUACCAACAAGAUGUACUUCCUGGAAAGUUUUGAGCCUUAUGUUUGAUCAAUGAAGUUGGCUGAAGGUGAUACACGUAACUGAAUUUUUAACUUUCUGUAAGUUGGAACCUGAUCGAGGGGAGAAAUGCUUUGAAGCACCCAAGGCACUAAAAAGACUUUAAUGGCUUCUUUCGGGCUCAUUUGGGUCAUCUUGCUACAAUGAGUGUGCCCUCCAAGGACGAAAGGUCGGAGUGGUUAAUCUUGGCCAAAUGAUGCUCAUCGAUGGGACGAAAUAGAUUGCAAGAGGGAUUUAGAUGGCAUCAUCUGCUCAGGUGUUGAACGCCAGUCCUCUGCAUUGCAUCAUACUUCUCAUCAUUUUUCCACUCUUCUCAUUUUCAAGCAAUGCUUUACCCAACACCCCCACCUGUGACUGACUGGAAUACGUUAUAGGGAUUCCCUGGCAGCCACUCCGGUCAAGAAGUUGCUGGCAUCUCUAAGCUGAAAUCCUACCUUAAUAAGUUCAGAUACAUCACUAACAAUAACAAUAACAGUAACAAUCAGCCCACCAGCUACAACAAAUUCAACGAUUACUUUGAUGACGCGCUUGAACAUGGCAUAAAAAUUUACCAAAAUACUUCAACUUAAACACCACAGGCAUACUCAACAGCUCAACGGUUAACUAGAUGGUUAAACCGAGAUGCGGAGUGCCUGACAUUGUUAAUGGAACGGCGCUCAUGUACGAGCAUUCUUACGCAACGAUUGAUCCUGAAAUUCCGGAAGCGAGAAAUUUCACUUACGCUUUCGAUCCGAAAAAUAAACUUUCCAAUGAGAGCAAGCGAGUUUUCGCUAACGCAUUCAAGCAGCGGUCGAAUUGGUCUCAAUUAAAGUUUAUAGAAUCCAAUACCUACUCCACUGUUGAUACUAACCAACCCAGAAAAGAGCUGUGUGAAUUGCAAGCCUAAUCCAACUAUAGAACAAUAUUGAACGACAAAGUUAUUCAAAAGAGUCAUUUUGUCAAAGGUAUGGGGCGGCGUAUGGGACGACGGAGAGUGGCGUUGGAUGGCAUCGAUGGGAGUGAUGAGGCCUGAGUUGGUAACGAAGUUGAUUGUUCAAGUUGUUAUAGUUGUUAUAGCUGGAGCGUUGGGUAUUUACCGUCUGAUUAUUGUUAUGAUUCUUCAUCGCUUGAAGUUGGUGUACAGAAUGACUAUGUGCGUGACGAAAAUGUUCAUGAUGCCUAUGUCGAGCUGAUGUUUGUCUCUGGUUUGUGUAAAACGCUUAUCAUUAAUUUAAAUUUAUUUGAGGCUGAUUCAUUUAAUUGCAAAUUCCAGGAUUAAGUUAUACCUUUGAUGCUUAAAUCCAAUGAUUUGUAUGUUUUUUAUUAGGGCUUAUAUUGACCAUAUAAGUAGAGGCCUAUUAAUAUGAAGGAACUUGAGAUCAUUGAACACGUUGGGCUUGAUUCCGUUGUAUUCUUCAGGAUUUAUAUCCAUUCAAUGUGUACCUUAAUUCUUCUCUUUUUCAUAUGGGUUUGUAUUUAUUUGCUCGAAUAAAUCACGGUUGAUCUUAUUGUUAAUAUUUUUUAUU